rnacentral:rRNA from 1 species
UACGUAGGGUGCGAGCGUUGUCCGGAAUUAUUGGGCGUAAAGCGCUUGUAGGCGGCACGUCAAGUCGCGUGUGAAAUCCCCAGGCUUAACCUGGGAAGUGCGCGCGAAACUGACGAGCUUGAGUGCCGGAGAGGGUCGCGGAAUUCCCGGUGUAGAGGUGAAAUUCGUAGAUAUCGGGAGGAACACCGGUGGCGAAGGCGGCGAUCUGGGUCGAUACUGACGCUGAGGUGCGAAAGCGUGGGGAGCAAACAGG